AUCCUGAAUGAUAAUCGUGUCUUAAUAAUAAUAAAAGAAAGAAAAUAAGAGACAAGCAUCACGAUUUUCCCAAUUGAAAUGUCUUUUGGUUUUGCCUUUGGUGGCACAGGGUCAAGGGUGUGGGGGCAUUUGUGUGGCAUUCACUAUUCUUUCAACCUGUCCUGAUUAUGGAACCCUUUAAGGUCCGUCCACUUGGAACCACGGUGCUCUGAGAGGACGCUGAACUCACAGCAGCCCACACACAAUUCCAGUGAUACUACUGCAAUGUUUUGUACACAGAAUCUUAGGUUUGUUGGGUAAAUGUAGCAUCAUAUUUUGUUUUAGCAAUUUGUGAACAGUCUUGCUUCUCUUCACACUUAUAAGCUCAUCAGGCUAAGGAUUAAAUCGUAUGCACCCAAAUACCUCUUAGUAUACAAACGUCUGCACUCAGUAGCGUUUCUGGCUGAGCAGGUGGAAGAAGGGCCACGUUCGCCAAUGUCAUGAGGGGCCAGCAUCUUUAACCUUCACGCCCACAUCACCAGCCUUGCCUUCUUCACAACAGAAAUGUUGUCCCACUUCCUUUCCAGGUCUCUCAGAUUCAUGGUACGAGUUGGAAAGAGACCUGAGAGAUUAUUUAGGCUAAACGUUUCAUUUUAUAAAUGACAAAAUUAGGGUUGAGCAAAAUGUGGUGAUUUUGUCUGUGCAAAGCCAAGAAAAAAAAUUAGAGCCUCUUAAAAGUCAUUUUUCCCCUGAAAUAAAGUAUCUUCAUUUCACUGUUAAAUAUAUGUCCUCAUGUAGUUGCUAUAAUCAACCACUUCUCAAGAAAACUCUAAAAGCUGUAUUUCCCAUAUGACACAUUUCAGAAUAUUACAUAAGAAGCUCUCACCAAGACACCAAGGUAAAAUAUAUAUGACAAGCCAAAGACAGGUGCCAUAAAAAAAUAAGAAAUCUUCAAAGGGGAAAGAAAUUCCAAAAGUGGCAACAUGACACCACUCAUUCUCUGCCUACUUUCGAGGUAAGACGAUGUUGAAGUUCUGAGGGGGCUCAGUAAAUAACACCUCUCUUCCCCCUCCAGGUCCUGCACAAAUUGAAAACAUAAAAGGUAGCAGAUGGACUCAAAUGCCACCUUCAUGACUGAGGUGCCAAGCUGGAGGGCAGGAGUUGCCCUCUGGUCCUGGUUUAGGCUGACCUUCUGAACGGGGCCUGAGGGCAGGACCACACGGGCAGGGAUCAGAAAGGAGCUGGAGGAGAGCUCAGAAGGGAGGGCGGGCCCAGCUCUCUUGGCGGCCAAGGAAAAAGCCUGGCAUGUUAGAGCUGGUGCAGGACUCUCCAGGGUGACCGAGCCACCCAGAAGAGGGAAAAGCCAUUCUCCAUAACAAAAAGUCAGGACCGGCUGAAAGCCCCUCCCAGCCCUCCACCCUCCUUCGGCGGGGCUUCUUUCUGAGCUUUGCCCCAUCCCUGCCCCGUGCUGGUGACUGGUGUUUGGCUCCCUCCUAGAGAAAGAGAUGGGCCUGGGUUGGUUGAGAGAGAAAGAGAGAGAAAGGGAGAGACAGAGAGAAGGCUUAGCUCUUGUCCAACAGGGCCACCUAGAGGGACUCUCAGGCUUGAGCGGGAGAAGCAGAGUUUUGAGGCAGAGCUGAUCAAGGGAACCUCAACAAACAACCCCAGCCAUGGAGGCGGCGGUGUCUUUGAAGACCCCAUGAGAGCAUCAAACAAGGGAGAGAGCCUGGAACAAAUCAUGGUAGUAAAAUGGCGGCAGAGAGCUAGUAAUGUGUCUGCAAUUGGUGGGUUCUUGGUCGCACUGACUUCAAGAAUGAAGCCGCGGACCCUCACGGUAUGACAGCUCCUCUCCCAACAGCUCUACUUUCUACAUCUACUCUCUACCACCACAAAACUUCUUUCAGUUCCAUGAAAGGGCCAUGUUUUUCUGGUCUCUUGGCCUAGGAGCAUGUUGUUCUUCUGCCAGCAACCUUCUUCAACCAUCUCCACAGGAUGACUCCUCUAUUGGAUACUUCCAUGAAAAGUCCAGGCCUGGGUUAUGUACCCUUCCCAAAGUGCACCCCAGACACCCAACAGUUUUUCCAGCCCAGACUCACCACACUGUGUGGUAAUUUCCUGAUCACUCAGUUGUGCUCCCCACAGACUAUAAGCUCUAUGAGGGCAGGGGCCACAGUUUGCUUGUUCACUACUAUAUGCUCAGUACCUGGUAAAUAUUAGUUGACUGAAGAAUGACUAUGUGGUAAUCUAUUCCAUUGGUGGCCUCCAGUGAACCAUGUCUUCUGGUAUUUACAUCUUGUGUGGUCCCCUCCAUUAAAUUUGGGCUUUAACCAACAGAAUGCUGCAGAAGCGACACCCUGCCACUUGUGCUUUUGUGAUCCUAGCCACCAGUAAGAAGCCCUGUGACCUUGCUGAGACCCUGAAGAGACCACAUAGAGAGGCCACUUGAAGGGCAAGGGGUCCUGACUCUACAUGGAGAGAGAAGCCCAGCCAUCCCUGUUUCCCAGCUGAGUCCUGACCAGAUAACUCACUACAAGACUGACCACAGGCAAGAACAGCAGAAGAGCUGCCCAGCUGAGCCCAUCCAAGAGUGCAGAAUUUCAAGCAAGUAAAAUGACUAAUGUUGUAAGCCACUAAAAUUCUAGGGUGGUUCUUACAUAGCAAUAUGUAACUGUGAUAAACUAAAUAAAUGAAUAAAAGGGAAUGAAGAAUUACUUCACAGAAUAAGUUUCAUGCAAAGACAUCUCAAUGUCUCUAAGAAACACUUCUAAGGAAGAGCAGAGUCAAGAAAAUAGCAACAGAACUAACAGGAAAUAGAGGAACUCAUACCACCAGCUUCCAUUUACAUUACAUCACAUUUUUCCUCUGUCAGUUUCUUUGGUUUUAAGAUAUUCUCCAAUGAAAAGAUAUUCCUACUCUUUUGUGAAAAAGAGAUUCUAGGUUUGACAUUAAAGUUAAGAAGUCCAACCAAGGAGGGGAUGUGAACACUAACACACAAAUGGAAACUGCUUAGAAUCCCAUGGCCAACCUAUCCCUGCUGUUCUAUUUCCUCUUACUUGCCAGCAGAGCAGAUCUACAGCUGUGGAUGAGGGCAUAGAGGCUGCUGUGCUCAGGGGAAACUGGAAUACUAUGGAGACUCCUGGCUUAACUGGGCACCAAAUGUUCAGUUCAGUGUGAAAAAUACCAUCCAAAGAUCAGAAUGGUUAAUUUUUAUACAGACAGUUAAUGACUUGUCAGUGAACUAGUAAAAACAAAAUAGACAGCUACUCAGUGCCUUUAACCCAGGCAUCCAAUCAGUUACACUAUACACAUAUGCACAUACACCCCCUAGAGACAGCUGAUACACACUGUUACAUAAUCCAGAAUAUUUUCUGGCUAGACUAUAUUUUGAAUCCUAAAUAUUAGCUAGCAACAUUAGCAUGCACAUCUCAGAAUGAGAAGACAGACUGCUACAUUUAUACUGGCUUGAUGGAAUCUUGGAUUGCUACUUCUAAUAAUUGCUUUUCUUCCUGAAAGAAAAAAAUCAUUAUGUAAGAACUAUGGCCUAAGCGAAGUAUCUGUCUUUUGUAAAAAACCAUAAAACAAAAUGCCAAGAAUAUUUUCUAACGUAUUAUACUGGACUAAUGCUUUGAAAUUUCUGAAUGAUGUUUAGUAGGUAAAAUUAUCAAUGUAUGUCUAGAAUAGCAUGCCUCUUAAACCUACCUCCAAUUAAUAAAUUUUAUGUGAUAGAUAUUUAAAGUAAAGAAGUGAAUUCAGGAACAAGCCAGCGGCUUGAAUGCUGCAUGCUUGGGAAGGGAAAAAUCAGCUCCCAGGGUUUU
rnacentral:lncRNA from 1 species